GACCAUGUUGGCUAUGAUAGUUUAAAUGGGUAGAUAAUAGAGUUCUAAAGGAUGAUUGCUAGUGAUAUGGAAGGACAAUUUGAAUAGCUAGAGAAGACUGAAUUUAUUCAUAAACUCGAGUUUGGGGGAAAAAUAUUUGGAAUAUAUAAGCUAAAAAAAAAAAAGUAUACAGGGUGACUAGUCUUGUUUCGGGGCCUUUGUUACUUGAACAAGUACGCCCGAGGGGAUUGUCUUUACACCUAGCGCCCUAAGGUCUUUCAUGGUCUGGGAGUCGUUGGUUGAAAGCUCGCUAAGGGGUAACACUGUUAGCCUAAUGGGAUGAGACAUUG
rnacentral:lncRNA from 1 species